AUACGGAGGGGGCUAGCGUUGUUCGGAAUUACUGGGCGUAAAGCGCGCGUAGGCGGAUUGAUCAGUCAGGGGUGAAAUCCCGGAGCUUAACUCCGGAACUGCCUUUGAUACUGUCAAUCUUGAGUUCGAGAGAGGUGAGUGGAAUUCCUAGUGUAGAGGUGAAAUUCGUAGAUAUUAGGAAGAACACCAGUGGCGAAGGCGGCUCACUGGCUCGAUGCUGACGCUGAGGUGCGAAAGCGUGGGGAGCAAACAGGAUUAGAAACCCCUGUAGUCC
rnacentral:rRNA from 1 species